UUAUUACUCCCUCUGUCCAACAAAAGAUGUCAAAAGUUUGUCAAAAUUUGGAUAUAUCUCGACAUGCCUUAGUGUACAGAUGCAUUUAAAUUUGUUCAAAGUUGAGACAUCCUUUGUUGGACGAAGAGAGUAACUU
rnacentral:pre_miRNA from 1 species